rnacentral:lncRNA from 1 species
GCUCUGCAUCCAAAUGUGUGUUUUUAAAGCUCUGCAUCACUCAGUGUCUUUGAGAGUAGCCUGAUGGAUAGACUGAUUGCUAGAAAUGCUUAGGAAGUGCCAGCAAAGGUGCAAUACUUCUGGAUCCAGCAGAUUUUGAGAAGAGUACAAACACUGCAUUAGCUUUUGGUGGAAUCUGAAAUAAAUGAAACAGUUCAGAAAAGGAGGCGUUGAUUGAAAUAUGUGUUCAGCUGUUCUGGGAACGGUGAUCAGAGAGCCACAAUAUUUGUCAUCAGAAUGUGCCAAGUAGGUCAC